rnacentral:rRNA from 1 species
GUACACUCCUGCGGGAGGCAGCAGUGGGGAAUUUUGGACAAUGGGCGAAAGCCUGAUCCAGCAAUGCCGCGUGAGUGAAGAAGGCCUUCGGGUUGUAAAGCUCUUUUGUCAGGGAAGAAACGGUGAAAGCUAAUAUCUUUUGCUAAUGACGGUACCUGAAGAAUAAGCACCGGCUAACUACGUGCCAGCAGCCGCGGUAAUACGUAGGGUGCAAGCGUUAAUCGGAAUUACUGGGCGUAAAGCGUGCGCAGGCGGUUUUGUAAGUCUGAUGUGAAAUCCCCGGGCUCAACCUGGGAAUUGCAUUGGAGACUGCAAGGCUAGAAUCUGGCAGAGGGGGGUAGAAUUCCACGUGUAGCAGUGAAAUGCGUAGAUAUGUGGAGGAACACCGAUGGCGAAGGCAGCCCCCUGGGUCAAGAUUGACGCUCAUGCACGAAAGCGUGGGGAGCAAACAGGAUUAGAAACCCCUGUAGUCC